rnacentral:rRNA from 1 species
GACGAACGCUGGCGGCGUGCUUAACACAUGCAAGUCGAGCGGUAAGGCCCUUUCGGGGGUACACGAGCGGCGAACGGGUGAGUAACACGUGGGUGACCUGCCCUCAGCUCUGGGAUAAGCCUGGGAAACCGGGUCUAAUACUGGAUAUGACUCCAUGACGCAUGUUGUGGGGUGGAAAGCCUUGUGCGGCUGAGGAUGGGCCCGCGGCCUAUCAGCUUGUUGGUGGGGUGANGGCCUACCAAGGCGACGACGGGUAGCCGGCCUGAGAGGGCGACCGGCCACACCGGGACUGAGACACGGCCCAGACUCCUACGGGAGGCAGCAGUGGGGAAUCUUGCGCAAUGGGCGAAAGCCUGACGCAGCGACGCCGCGUGAGGGAUGACGGCCUGGUGUAAC